UUUUUUUUUUUUUUGCCUUUCUAGGGCAUAUGGAGGUUCCCAGGCUAGGGGUCGAAUCGGAGCUGCAGCCACUGGCCUACGCCAGAGCCACAGCAGGAGAUGGAGCCAAGCCACAUCUGCAACCUACACCACAGCUCACGGCAACGCCGGAUCCUUAACCCACUGAGCAAGGCCAGGGAUCGAACCCACAACCUCAUGGUCCCUAGUCGGAUUCGUUACUGCUAAAAUAUUCUGUCUAUGCUUCACAAUGGUGUCCUUCUUUUAAUACCCUUCAAAGACAGAUACACAAUCCCCCUUAAAACACACCCCAACCCCCAGUGCACAUCUCUAAAUACCACCAUAAAGCAUCUCAGUUGUGGAACUCCCUGGUGGCCUAGCAGUUAGGAAUCCAGCAUUGUCACUGCUGGGGCAUGAGUUUGAUCCGUGACCCAGGAACUUCCGUAGGCCGUGAGUAUAGCCAAAAAAAAAGCACCUCAACUGCUUAUUUUUAAACUUCCAAGGAUAAAAGCAGCCAGGGGCUUUUUUUUCACUUGCAGUCAGAAUGUCCUGAUACGACCAUCUAGAUCCAUGCUACGGAAAAGUGUGCCUGUUGUUGGAACACUGGUUUAUAAUCUUGACAUUCACAUUUUCCCACUAGAAACAGGAACUUCCCAGAGCCUGGCUAUCUGUUAACAGGAACCGUACAACUGGCCUUGCCGGGCUGCUGUGAUUCCAUCUCAAAUGCCCAAGACACGUCAACCCAGGGCCAACUUCACACAGACCUGUUCUUCUCGAGCCACGUCUAAGCUGCCUGUGCUGGGCUGCUUAGAGUGUAAAGCGGUUACUGCCAAAAUCCCCCCAUUGCCAACCUCACUUUACCAGAAAAGGCCUCAAAUCCUAAAGUCUUCAAAUCCAAGGAUUAAAAGGUUAAUAUCUCCAUCUGCCACACUGGCAGUUCCUUCCAACUUUUCCAAGUCAGACCUUAGACAAAAAUAAAGACUUCUGAGAUUAUGGCUCCUUCCAUAAUCCAAUUUCCCUGAAAAUUCUAACAUAGAAGCUAAAAGUUUGUUCGUUUGUUUGUUUUAAACGAAGGGCAAAGCACUGGAGCAGAAGCAAACAGUCUGAAUGGCUCAUGAUGCU
rnacentral:lncRNA from 1 species